rnacentral:lncRNA from 1 species
AUGUGUCCUCGCCGGUCGCCGCGGCAGCCAGUGAUGCCCGAGCGGCGGGUUCCCAGGCCCAGGUGUGGGCGCCACCGCCCACCAUGCGCCAAGCCCAGAGCCUGGUUGAAUCGUUCGCCACCUUGUCUACCCAUUUUGGCCAUUAUCCUGCCACCUCCAAAUCCUGUUUUUGACACUUCUCGGGAGAGAGAGAAAACGGAAAGAUAAAGGAAUAAACUCCUCGUGGUCGUAGUUAGUGGGUAAAUUCAGAUCUCGUUUGAACCGAGGUUUUUCUUAUCUCCAGCCACCGUAUCCACCACCACCAGAAUCGUCUUUUUAGUCAUCACAGCUGGUCGCCGUCAGUACCUUGUUCAGAAGCCUCUCGCAGCUUCCAUCGUGUGGUUAUACAAUCCAAAUUCCUUAUAAAGUCCAAAUUCAAGAGGAGGAAUGCACGUUUAGUUAAGUUAAUGUCUAGACCUUACCAGCCAAUUUCUAGCUCCUCAGUAUGGAAAUUGCAACUGAAAACACCCCUUCCAAAAAAAGCAGUCUGCAUUUUUCUCUGAGUUUUCUUCUCCAAAUUUCGCACCCCUGACCUUGCUUACACACUCUGGAUACCACCUGCUGUGGAGUGGCGGAAGCAGACAUCCAGCGAUAGCUAAGUUUCCUGUCGUUGACACCCAAGCAAGACAGGCGUGUACCUAACUGAGGACCUGCCGGUGAUAGAAGUCUCAGCUUUUCUCAGAGACAGAUGAGUCUUCCCUUUAAAUGCUGCAAAGUGCUGCAUAGUAGAUGUUAAAUGAAAGUCAGAAAGAAUCAAAUGUGCUGCAAAUAAUUGAAGUUCAACCCAAUGGAAAUAGAUUAAAAGAGUGAAAGUCACUGGUCUCAAAGAAUCUACGGAAUUCAGCAUUUUGGAAAUCACAUAGCAAUUUUGGGUAGGUAUUCACAUGCACUAAAAAACCAGGCAAACAUCCGACUCCCAGGAUAAAGUGACUGAGAGCAGUAGAAGACUUGUUGAGCCGUAAGGAAUAAGAGGAAAAUUAUGUUAUGAAGUGCAGGAACAGCACAGACCCAGACGAGGGGAUGCAGCCCAGAGCCAGUAACCCGGUGCCUCCUCCUCCCCAGGAAGCAGCGCUGGCUGAUCCCCAGAUACCAUGAUCACACCGUCCCAGGUCCUGAGAGCGCCUCAUAGGUAGACAGUUCUUUGGGACUUUUGGGACGCAGCACUUGAAGAGAGGUCUACCUAAACUUUCCUCCUGGGAGCCUGUGAUCAUUUGAAAGUAACAGAAGAAAGUUGUCAGGCUGAGGAAAGUUUCAACAGGCACUUGGUGAGAAUGGGAAGCAUCCAUUCAUUGCGAAAUCGCGGGGACAGAGGAGGAAUUCACGGGAUCAGAGCACUGAGAAACUCCAGAGGCUUCUGGUUCACCGCCCUGAUUCCACAGAUGUGGGUCAGAGGCAGAGAUGGAAGUUGGAAUGGACAAGCCUGCCCUCUCAUCGGCUCUCCAUGGCUCUGUCCUCAGGCUGUUUCUGCAAUUUGACAUGAGGCCUGGCCCCAGGGAAACCAGUGGGGCCUCAUCUCCUCCCUGUGCUGCUCUGAGAUGGAGUCUUCUCAGGGUCAGUCCAGCUCUGGAGCCCCUCUCCAGCUCGGUCACCAAAGCUGUCUGGUCCCAGGGCGGUGCUGAGUGACAGGCACACCAGCCAGUCCAAUUGGCCAUUUCAUACCCAAUGCAUGUGACUGAUAAAGAGAUAACACCCUGUCUCCAAGACACAGGCUUUACAUAAACAGCUUUAAUGACCUCUUCACCUAGAGACAAGACUCCUUAGUGGUGGAACCUCAGGCAUCCGUGCAGGAUGUAAGAAAGCUCCCGUAUAUACAUGAACUGAGAAGUGUGUAGAAGAAUAAAUACUGUAAUAGGUAAUAAAAUGUAUGUAUUUUUAUUUAUAUGCUACUUUCUCUUUCUCCCUCUCUGUGUAUAUACACAUAUAUACAAAAAUGUAUUCAUUCUGUGGAAAACAUGAAAGAUGUAAUAUUCUUUACA